rnacentral:rRNA from 1 species
GACGAACCGUGCGAACGUUAUUCGGAAUCACUGGGCUUAAAGCGCGUGUAGGCGGCCGCCACGUCGGCUGCUGAAAUCCCCGGCUCAACCGGGAACGGCACCGAUACGAGCGGCCUCGAGGGGUAGGGGUCGUGGAACUUCCGGUGGAGCCGGUGAAAUGCGUUGAGAUCGGAAGGAACGCCCGUGGCGAAGCGAGGUCCUCGGACGUCUACGUGACGCUGAGACGGCGAAAGCUAGGGAGCAACGGG